rnacentral:lncRNA from 1 species
GGGUAAAAAUAACAAAGAUAGAAAAAUGCAAGACCACAUUGCAUUACACCGCAAAAAUAGAAGGGUCUAUUGCGAAAAUAUCCCUUCACAGCAAAAAUGCCGGAUCCCGAGGGUAUCGGGUUGGAUCGAAUAGGGUGUGUGGCCUGUACGACACCUUUUUAAAGCCACUGAAAUAGGCUUUAAACGGUACCGUCUCACAUUUUUAUAAAGUAAAAAAAAAAAACCCUAAAACACUCAUGAAAUGAAAAAAAAAACUAAUCCUCUCCUCUGCUUGGCCGACCCAACAGUCCCUUCAUUCGGACGCCCUUACACCACUGUAAGCAGUGGUUGGCAACACGCAGAGGUGCCAUGUAGGACCAAACCUCGAGAGUUAUCAGUUUCGGCCUCGAAAUCCCAUUCUUACUUCGAUUGCGACGAAGAAGAUGGUCUCCGAUCACUAAGGUAAAUCCUUCCCUUUUGUUUUUAUUUUCACAUGCUAAAGAUGAAUCAAAAAUUAAAGGAGAAAAACGAAGGAAAAAAAAAAGAGUAUCCAUAUCUGAAAUCACCUUCGAAAAAUCUUGUUUUUGAUUGAUUUUGUCUGUAUGCCUCCCUCUAAAAAAAAUACACUGUUGCACUUGUCUUUUUAUAGCCAAAGUGAAAAAUCAAAUACACGUUGUUUGCUUUCUGCUUUGCUGUAUUCUGUUACUCUUUCCUUCUCGCAGGUUCAAAUGACGUGGAGAUAGCCGUAUGGAGGAAGCCAGGCGUGGGCGCCGCAGCACGGGGGAAGAGUCUUCCAGAAACCCAAAUAUGCUAGGCUAUUUGGGCCAGUCUUGGAAUUGGGCUAUUGGGUCCGUGCUAGGAUUGGACUAUUGAGUCCAAGUAUUUGGGUUAAGGUUAGUAGGCCGGUAGGUUUUGGGUUUUUACGGGUUUCGAGUUAGGUUUAUUUAAUUUAAUUUGGGCCAAAGUUUUGUAAUCUUUUCUUUGUUUUUUUUUUUGGUUAUUUUAAAAUACUGUUGUAAAUGGACUUUUAUUUAUUAGUUUUUGUUUUAAUUUAAUUUAUUUAUUUUUGGAUAAUUUUAUGGGCUCGGACGAAAUGAGCCUUCUACAAUACUCUUUAGAUUUAAAUUUGAA